rnacentral:lncRNA from 1 species
UCCCAUGGGUCCAAAUGUGUUUAACAUACCAGCUUCCUAAAAUCUGUACCUUGGAUUGGGUGUGAGCCCUGUGAAACACAUAAGGAUCCCAAAACUGAGGACGUGAGUCCUGGGGCACCUCUAAAACAUUUGAGUGUGGUGACAACAUGCUGUCAACCAGCCUUAGCUAAAGCUUUGAGAUUUGGAACAAAAGGUGGGUGUAAAAAAAUUGCAGAAUAAUGUUGAUAUCCUGUGGCAUAUGUAUACACACAACAAAAUUAGAAAUGGCAUACUUGGGGUUGGGGAUUUAGCUCAGUGGUAGAGCGCUUGCCUAGGAAGCGCAAGGCCCUGGGUUCAGUCCCCAGCUCCGAAAAAAAGAACCAAAAAAAAAAAAAGAAAGAAAAAAGAAAUGGCAUACUUGCAGACUUUUCAGUUAGAUUGUCAGUGACAUUACUGUCUGAUUUCUACAGGGUGGUGACUUCACACGCCAUAAUGGCACUGGUGGCAAGUCCAUCUACGGAGAGAAAUUUGAGGAUGAGAACUUCAUCCUGAAGCAUACAGGUCCUGGCAUCUUGUCCAUGGCAAAUGCUGGACCAAACACAAAUGGUUCCCAGUUUUUUAUCUGCACUGCCAAGACUGAGUGGUAAGAAAAAAUGAAUGGAUCAGUUGAAAGAGUACAGUCCUGAUGAGGAGGGACACUUGAUGUUUCUUCAGUGUUCCUUUCAUUCCAUCCCUUAAGAUAGUAGAAGUUGACCAGGAAUAAGCAUGCUGAUUAUAUCUGUGUUGGGUAACUUUUUAUCUUUAGUGCGUGAUCUGCUGAUAUUAGUGAUGUUCUUCUACAGGCUGGAUGGCAAGCAUGUGGUCUUUGGGAAGGUGAAAGAAGGCAUGAGCAUUGUGGAAGCCAUGGAGCGUUUUGGGUCCAGGAAUGGCAAGACCAGCAAGAAGAUCACCAUCUCCGACUGUGGACAACUCUAAUUUCUUUGACUUGCGGGCAUUUUACCCAUCAAACCAUUCCUUCUGUAGCUCAGGAGAGCACCCCCACCCCAUCUGCUCGCAAUACCCUGUAAUCUCUGCUCUCACUGAAGUUCUUUGGGUUCCAUAUUUUCCUCAUUCCCCUUCAAGUCUAGCAGGAUUGCAAAGUUAAGUUUAUGAUUAUGAAUAAAAACUAAAUGAGAAGUG